UACGGAGGGUGCAAGCGUUAAUCGGAAUUACUGGGCGUAAAGCGCACGCAGGCGGUCUGUUAAGCGNGAUGUGAAAGCCCCGGGCUCAACCUGGGAACAGCAUUUCGAACUGGCAGACUAGAGUCUUGGAGAGGGGGGUGGAAUUCCAGGUGUAGCGGUGAAAUGCGUAGAGAUCUGGAGGAACAUCAGUGGCGAAGGCGACCCCCUGGCCAAAGACUGACGCUCAUGUGCGAAAGUGUGGGUAGCGAACAGG
rnacentral:rRNA from 1 species